GAGUUUGAUCAUGGCUCAGAACGAACGCUGGCGGCAGGCCUAAUACAUGCAAGUCGAGCGCGCCCUUCGGGGUGAGCGGCGGACGGGUGAGUAACGCGUGGGAAUAUGCCCUUCUCUAAGGAAUAGCCUCGGGAAACUGAGAGUAAUACCUUAUACGCCCUACGGGGGAAAGAUUUAUCGGAGAAGGAUUAGCCCGCGUCUGAUUAGGUAGUUGGUGGGGUAAAGGCCUACCAAGCCGACGAUCAGUAGCUGGUCUGAGAGGACGAUCAGCCACACUGGAACUGAGACACGGUCCAGACUCCUACGGGAGGCAGCAGUGGGGAAUUUUGGACAAUGGGGGAAACCCUGAUCCAGCCAUUCCGCGUGAGUGAAGAAGGCCUUCGGGUUGUAAAGCUCUUUCGCAAGAGAAGAAAUCUUACUAUCGAAUAAAUAGUAAGGAUGACGGUAUCCUGACAAGAAGCACCGGCUAACUACGUGCCAGCAGCCGCGGUAAUACGUAGGGUGCAAGCGUUAAUCGGAAUUACUGGGCGUAAAGCGUGCGCAGGCGGUUAUGUAAGUCAGAUGUGAAAUCCCCGGGCCUAACCUGGGAACUGCGUUUGAAACUGUAAGACUAGAGUGUGUCAGAGGGGGGUAGAAUUCCACGUGUAGCAGUGAAAUGCGUAGAUAUGUGGAGGAAUACCGAUGGCGAAGGCAGCCCCCUGGGAUAACACUGACGCUCAUGCACGAAAGCGUGGGGAGCAAACAGGAUUAGAUACCCUGGUAGUCCACGCCCUAAACGAUGUCUACUAGUUGUUGGUGGAGUAAAAUCCAUGAGUAACGCAGCUAACGCUUUAAGUUGACCGCCUGGGGAGUACGGUCGCAAGAUUAAAACUCAAAUGAAUUGACGGGGGCCCGCACAAGCGGUGGAGCAUGUGGUUUAAUUCGACGCAACGCGAAGAACCUUACCUGGUCUUGACAUCCUACGAACUUACUAGAAAUAGUUUGGUGCCUUCGGGAACGUAGUGACAGGUGCUGCAUGGCUGUCGUCAGCUCGUGUCUUGAGAUGUUGGGUUAAGUCCCGUAACGAGCGCAACCCUUGUCCUUAUUUGCCAUCAUUAGGUUGGGCACUCUAGGGAGACUGCCGGUGACAAACCGGAGGAAGGUGGGGACGACGUCAAGUCAUCAUGGCCCUUACGACCAGGGCUACACACGUGCUACAAUGGGACGUACAAAGGGUUGCGACCCCGCGAGGGUGAGCUAAUCCCAUAAAACGUUUCGUAGUCCGGAUCGCAGUCUGCAACUCGACUGCGUGAAGUCGGAAUCGCUAGUAAUCGUGAAUCAGAAUGUCACGGUGAAUACGUUCCCGGGCCUUGUACACACCGCCCGUCACACCAUGGGAGUGGGUUGCAAAAGAAGUGGGUAGACUAACCUUCGGGGGGCCGCUCACCACUUUGUGAUUCAUGACUGGGGUGAAGUCGUAACAAGGUAGCC
rnacentral:rRNA from 1 species